UGGGGAAUAUAUGGACAAUGGGGCGCAAGCCUGAUCCAGGCCAUGCCGAGUGAGGAUGAAGGCCUUAGGGUUGUAGAAGCUCCUUUCGUCGGCGAAAGAUAUGACGGUCCCCCAGAGAAGAAGCCUCGGGUGACUCCUG
rnacentral:rRNA from 1 species